GUCCACGCCCUAAACUAUGGCGACUAGUUGUUGGGGAUUUAACAUCCUUAGUAACGAAGCUAACGCGUGAAGUCGCCCGCCUGGGGAGUACGGUCGCAAGAUUAAAACUCAAAGGAAUUGACGGGGCCCGCACAAGCGGUGGAUGAUGUGGUUUAAUUCGAUGCAACGCGAAAACCUUACCUACCCUUGACAUGUCCGGAAUCCCGCAGAGAUGCGGGAGUGCCCGAAAGGGAGCCGGAACACAGGUGCUGCAUGGCUGUCGU
rnacentral:rRNA from 1 species